CCAUUUCCAUUCUCAAUUUUAUACACAUAUUGAUGCCAAUAUCAAUAAGCCAUGUUACAGUUUUAAAUCUUUUUUGGACCCAAUAGAUGGAUAUGGCCAUACUAUUGUUAACAUUAGAAGAUUUAAUACUCAAUGAAAAUUUUCUACUUAUUUCCAAAUCAUAUACAAACUAAGAUCUGCGUUAAUAAACCUUAAGUUGAUGUAGAUUUAUCCAAAAGAGAAAUGCAGAUAGGAAAAGUUUUUUGUCAAUUUUUUCUUUAUUCCAGUCAAAAGUUGGCUAAUCAGUUAAAACAAUACCAUUUUCAAAACUUAUUUCAAUCUAAACUAAAAUGCACAAUAUCAUGGCGUCAUGUGUUUACUAUGACUUUAUCACUAUAUUAUGGCUUAUUCUAAAAUAUAUGACAAAUCCUAAUUUGAUGUAAUUAUUCAAUAAAUUAAAAAUCGUUGACCUAUUGCAUUAAACACAGAUCAAAUCACAAAACUUUGGCUAAUGAAAUAUGAAAAAGAGAGGCGAAAGAUACCAAAGGGACAUUCAAUGGGGUCAUGGUCAAAUUAACCUUGCUGGACAGACAUAUACAACUUGCAAUCAUCUCAUAUCCCAAAUAUGUUUGACCGCUUGCUUUCAAUAUCUGAAAACAAUAGACAAAAACGCCUAUUUCCAGAAUAAGAAAUAAACUUCAAGAACUUUCAAAGCGGUUUGUGUGUGAACCAGCCGACAAAGCAGCCGACAAUGUUGUGGUGGUAUGCCGUAAAUACUACACGGACGUAAAUCUGAAUGCAAAUAUAUUUGCUACAACUCAUUUAAAGCCUUCUUCUCUAAUGCGAAAGGUAAAUAUGCUAAAUAUACUUACUGGAGGUGUGAUGAGAUGAUUGAAGCUGCUAAUUUUCUCCUUGAUAAUAUUUAUGUACGUUUCGGCAACAAAGAUUAUCGACAGGUUGUAGGUAUUCCUAUGGGCACUAAUUGCGCCCCUUUAAUAGCAGACUUGUGUUUAUACUGUUAUGAAUCACAGUUUAUGACCGAACUCAACAAGGCCCGUCUAAAUUGCAUUUAAUUAAUAAAUUCAAUAACACUUACCGUUAUCUUGAUGAUAUUUUUUCGUUAAAUAAUCAAGAAUUUUCUCAAUAUACUGCGGAAAUUUAACCAAAGGAGCUAACUUUAAAAAAAUCCAAUUUAAACGGUAAUAACUGACCUUUCCUAGAUUUAGAUAUUUCGGUUUUAAACGGGAAACUCCACACUAAAAUUUACGACAAAAGGGACGAUUUUUCGUUCCCUAUUGUUAAUUUUCCCUUUUUGGAUGGUGAUGUCCCUUUGGCACCGUCUUACGGUGUUUAUAUUUCCCAACUCGUCCGCUAUGCCCGUGUCUGUUGUGACGUUUUUGAUUUUAACGAACGUAAUCUAUGUAUUACUGGUAAAUUAUUAAGCCAAAGAUUUCGUGACCACAAAUUACUUAAAACCUUUACUAAAUUCUUUCAUAAAUAUAAAGAUUUGGUUUUGAAGUUUGGUUGUACCUGUAAAAAAACUUAUUUCAAACGGGAUAGCACAUCCUCAUUUUUACGGAAAUAUUGUUUACCGUGCCCGGAUAUUAAGAAACGAUCCUGGUAAACUUAUCGAUCCUUUCAAUAAACAUAUCAUAAAAGGUUACCAAUUCAAUACUGUAAUUAGAUCGCUGAAUAUUGUUUUUAUUAGUAUUAAUAUUGAUUUUGUUAUCAGUAAAUUAAAAGCAAACUAAAUAUUAUUGUUAUAUACAUAUACACAUUCAUGGAUCUACAAUCUGUC
rnacentral:lncRNA from 1 species